rnacentral:rRNA from 1 species
CAGCAGCCGCGGGAAUACGGAGGGAGCUAGCGUUGUUCGGAAUUACUGGGCGUAAAGCGCGCGUAGGCGGUUACUCAAGUCAGAGGUGAAAGCCCGGGGCUCAACCCCGGAACUGCCUUUGAAACUAGGUGACUAGAAUCUUGGAGAGGUCAGUGGAAUUCCGAGUGUAGAGGUGAAAUUCGUAGAUAUUCGGAAGAACACCAGUGGCGAAGGCGACUAACUGGACAAGUAUUGACGCUGAGGUGCGAAAGCGUGGGGAGCAAACAGGAUUAGAUACCCCAGUAGUCCCUGUCUCUUAUAC